UCGGGGACAAAGUGACAGGUGGUGCAUGGUUGUCGUCAGCUCGUGUCGUGAGAUGUUGGGUUAAGUCCCGCAACGAGCGCAACCCUUGAUUUUAGUUGCCAGCAUUUAGUUGGGCACUCUAAAGUGACUGCCGGUGCAAGCCGGAGGAAGGUGGGGAUGACGUCAAAUCAUCAUGCCCCUUAUGACCUGGGCUACACACGUGCUACAAUGGAUAGUACAAAGGGUCGCGAAGCCGCGAGGUGGAGCUAAUCCCAUAAAACUAUUCUCAGUUCGGAUUGUAGGCUGCAACUCGCCUACAUGAAGCCGGAAUCGCUAGUAAUCGUGGAUCAGCAUGCCACGGUGAAUACGUUCCCGGGCCUUGUACACACCGCCCGUCACACCACGAGAGUUUGUAACACCCGAAGUCGGUAGGGUAACCUUUAUGGAGCCAGCCGCCGAAGGUGGGACAGAUAAUUGGGGUGAAGUCGUAACAAGGUAGCCGUAUCGGAAGGUGCGGCUGGAUCACCUCCUUUCUAAGGAA
rnacentral:rRNA from 1 species